rnacentral:rRNA from 1 species
GCUAGCGGCAGGCUUAACACAUGCAAGUCGAGGGGUAACAGGAAUAGCUUGCUAUUUGCUGACGACCGGCGCACGGGUGCGUAACGCGUAUAGAACCUACCUUUUACAAAGGGAUAGCCCAGAGAAAUUUGGAUUAAUACCUUAUAGUAUUAUUUAACGGCAUCGUUAUAUAAUUAAAGAUUUAUUGGUAAGAGAUGGCUAUGCGUCCUAUUAGAUAGUUGGAGAGGUAACGGCUCCCCAAGUCAGCGAUAGGUAGGGGUCCUGAGAGGGAGACCCCCCACACUGGUACUGAGACACGGACCAGACUCCUACGGGAGGCAGCAGUGAGGAAUAUUGGGCAAUGGAGGCAACUCUGACCCAGCCAUGCCGCGUGCAGGAAGACGGCCCUAUGGGUUGUAAACUGCUUUUAUACAGGAAGAAACCUCCCGACGUGUCGGGAGCUGACGGUACUGUAAGAAUAAGCACCGGCUAACUCCGUGCCAGCAGCCGCGGUAAUACGGAGGGUGCAAGCGUUAUCCGGAAUCAUUGGGUUUAAAGGGUCCGUAGGCGGAUAAUUAAGUCAGAGGUGAAAUCCCACAGCUUAACUGUGGCACUGCCUUUGAUACUGGUUAUCUUGAGUUACAGGGAAGUAGAUAGAAUAUGUAGUGUAGCGGUGAAAUGCAUAGAUAUUACAUAGAAAUACCGAUUGCGAAGGCAGUCUACUAUCUGUAUACUGACGCUA